GCAAGGUGGGGCCUGUGGGAUCCCCACGGACACUGUCUAUGUCCUUGCAGCCGCCUGCAACCGGCCGGAUGCUGUGGAGAAGGCUUACAACACUAAGCGCCAAGCUGAGGACCGUCCCAUGUCCCUCUGGAUUUCGAGCCUGAAGCAGCUGGAGCCGGUCCAGCACCUCUUCAGCCCCAUCCUCUGGGACUUCAUGGAGACCGCUUGGCCCUCGCCCAUCAGCCUGGUGAUCCCUCGAGGAGAAUGGCUGGACUACCUGGGCUUGAAGGACUCCGCCAAGUACGUUGGCACUCCGCAGAGCAUUGCCAUCCGCAUCCCAGAUUGCUCCGUCAC